rnacentral:rRNA from 1 species
AACGAACGCUGGCGGCAUGCCUAACACAUGCAAGUCGAACGAGACCUUCGGGUCUAGUGGCGCACGGGUGCGUAACGCGUGGGAACCUGCCCUUAGGUUCGGAAUAACUCCCCGAAAGGGGUGCUAAUACCGGAUAAUGUCUUCGGACCAAAGAUCUAUCGCCUUUGGAUGGGCCCGCGUUGGAUUAGCUAGUUGGUAGGGUAAAAGCCUACCAAGGAGACGAUCCAUAGCUGGUCUGUGAGGAUGAUCAGCCACACUGGGACUAAGACACGGCCCAGACUCCUACGGGAGGCAGCAGUGGGGAAUACUAGACAAUGGGCGAAAGCCUGAUCCAGCAAUGCCGCGUAAGUGAUGAAGGCCUUAGGGUUGUAAAGCUCUUUUACCCGGAAUGAUAAUGACAGUACCGGGAGAAUAAGCACCGGCUAACUCCGUG